rnacentral:tRNA from 1 species
GCCCGGGCGGCUCGUUGGACGAGCGCCGCUCCCACAAAGCGGAGGUCGAGGUUCGAUUCCUCGUCCGGGCA